rnacentral:lncRNA from 1 species
AAUUCCAGUCCCAGCACCAACAUCAAGUACUACUUUAUCCUUAAAUAAAAAUUUAUUCUGAAAAAUAACGUUUUGGUAUGUUUUAGUUCUCACUCCAUCCUUCAGCAUUUCCUGCAGUGUAAGGAUGGGUAAGGAAACAUCAACAGCUGGCGAAGUUUAAGCAUUGAUACACAAUCAACUCCAAAAUUUGUUUUAGAAAUCCAGAUCUCAAGAUAUAUAAAAAAUCAUACAAGAAAAAUUUGAUCUCAGCUGAAAAUGAUGAAAUAAUAUAGAUUACACAAAGUCAAAACAAUAAACCUACGGACACAAAAUGGUAAAGCAAUAUAAUAUCCAUUGAUAAAAUGCAGAGCAUUACUCGGAAACAAAUCAAGUGUAUCACAUAAUAACAAGCGCCGAUUCAAAAGGGGGUUUUGUGAGGUAAAUAAAACAAGAAAAUGUGGCAGCACUAUUUGAGUUACAAAAGCUUCUGAAUCAUCACUUAUAAUGCACAAACAAGAUAUAAUCAAAACUAAAACCCAACAAAUAAAUAUAUAAAAAAACACCAAGUUACGAAACCCAGUAAAGAGCUGAAUUGAAUCCAGCUACGACACUUACUUCAUGAAUACCUGCAAAAACACAAACAAAAAAAAAGGUUAAGACAGAUACAAAAAACUUUCUAUGCCAGAGUACCAUUCAUUAGGAGUCUAAAACUUCUAUUCAAGUCAACUGAACCUAGUAUACUAUUACCAAAGGAAAAAAAAACACGAGAAGAUUUAAAUAAAUAAAGUAAAGCGAAUCAAGGAGAGUACUACCAAAGUGAGAGUAUGAAUCGAAGUAAUAAUCGGCGCUGGUUUUAUCAUCAUCGCCGCCGUCAACAAAGGGGGCGUUGGGGUCGGACAUAGUUACGUCAUCCAUAGCAAUGGCUUUUUCA